GACGAAGGGGGCUAGCGUUGUUCGGAAUUACUGGGCGUAAAGCGCGUGUAGGCGGUUGCCAAAGUCGGGUGUGAAAGCCUUGAGCUCAACUCAAGAAUUGCACUCGAUACUUGGUGACUAGAGGACCGGAGAGGAUAGUGGAAUUCCCAGUGUAGUGGUGAAACACGUAGAGAUUGGGAAGAACACCAGUGGCGAAGGCGGCUAUCUGGACGGUUUCUGACGCUAAGACGCGAAAGCGUGGGGAGCAAACAGG
rnacentral:rRNA from 1 species